rnacentral:rRNA from 1 species
AUUGAACGAUGGCGGCAGGCCUAACACAUGCAAGUCGAACGAGUGGCGGACGGGUGAGUAAUGUCUGGGACACUGCCUGAUGGAGGGGGAUAACUCCUGGAAACGGUAGCUACUACCGCAUACCAUCGGAUGUGCCCAGAUGGUAUUAGCUAGUAGGUGGGGUAACGGCUCACCUAGGCGACGAUCCCUAGCUGGGCUGAGAGGAUGACCAGCCACACUGGAACUGAGACACGGUCCAGACUCCUACGGGAGGCAGCAGUGGGGAAGAUUGCAAUAGGGGCGCAAGCCUGAUGCAGCCAUGCCGCGUGUAUGAAGAAGGCCUUCGGGUUGUAAAGUACUUUCAGCGGGGAGGCGUUACCCGCAGAAGAAGCACAGGCUAACUCCGUGCCAGCAGCCGCGGUAAUUC